GACAGAGGGUGCAAACGUUGUUCGGAUUUACUGGGCGUAAAGCGCGUGUAGGCGGCUUGGCAAGUUGGAUGUGAAAGCCCACGGCUCAACCGUGGAAGCGCAUCCAAAACUGCUUCGCUCGAGUCUCGGAGAGGAAGGUGGAAUUCCCAGUGUAGCGGUGAAAUGCGUAGAUAUUGGGAGGAACACCAGUGGCGAAGGCGGCUCACUGGACCGGAACUGACGCUGAGGCGCGAAAGCGUGGGGAGCGAACCGG
rnacentral:rRNA from 1 species